rnacentral:lncRNA from 1 species
UAAAACGUACAAAACCAAACUGUGCUCUGACCACCUUGGGCACAUGUCGUCAGGACCUCCUGAGGUGUGUCACAGGCACGUGUCCUCAACUUUGGCAAAAUAAACUUUCUAAAUUACCUGAAACCUGUCUCAGAUUUUCAGGGUUGACAUUUUGGUAACCACAGAGGGAUUCUGAGUAGAGGUACCCCUGACCUUUGACAAAUCUAUCAGUGCUUAGUACCAGCAUGAGCUAAUUUUAUGGCUCAAACCAACAGGACAAUUUGCUGAGGUCUGGGAGUACACCCUCCAGAGAAUCCCUGAUCUCCCCAAAUCUGGUCAAAAUCUAAAGUUUAUUUUGCUGUAGAACUCCCCCCACCUUUUUGUUUUUUGGAGUUUUACUUGAUUCCAACAAGGAAUGCAAGAUUUCCUGUUUCCAUGACGAUGGAAGGCAGGUAACUCCUUUAUGGAGUUUGAGCUCACUCCCAGCAGGGAAUAUGAGUUUAACAUUUUUUGUUGUUUUUUUCCUCCUGCUUCUAGAGCGGUAGAAAGCAGUCUUUAGCCUGAGACCCAUCCCUAGAUCCUGAAUUCCAGCUGAAGAGUUGACAUCAACCAGUUUGAAGCCUCCCUUCCCCCCGAAGAGGAACAAAAUCAGCAUGAGAAUACUGU